rnacentral:rRNA from 1 species
GGCCCAGAUCGUUUACCGUGAAAAAAUUAGAGUGUUCAAAGCAGGCAGAUCCAAUUUUCUGCCACCGAAUACAUUAGCAUGGGAUAAUGGAAUAGGACCCUGUCCUCCUAUUUUCAGUUGGUUUUGGCAGCGCGAGGACUAGGGUAAUGAUUAAUAGGGAUAGUUGGGGGCAUUAAUAUUUAAUUGUCAGAGGUGAAAUUCUUGGAUUUAUGAAAGAUUAACUUCUGCGAAAGCAUCUGCCAAGGAUGUUUUCAUUAAUCAAGAACGAAAGUUAGGGGAUCGAAGACGAUCAGAUACCGUCGUAGUCUUAACCAUAAACGAUGCCGACCAGCGAUUAGGAGACGUUGAAUACAAAACACCACCAUCGGUGCGGUCGUCCUUGGCGUCGGUCUUUCGGGGCCGGCGCGGGGGCGGCUUAGCCCGGUGGC